GAUGAACGCUGGCGGCGUGCCUAAUACAUGCAAGUCGAGCGAACGGACGAGAAGCUUGCUUUUCUGAUGUUAGCGGCGGACGGGUGAGUAACACGUGGAUAACCUACCUAUAAGACUGGGAUAACUUCGGGAAACCGGAGCUAAUAUCGGAUAAUAUUUUGAACCGCAUGGUUCAAAAGUGAAAGACGGUCUUGCUGUCACUUAUAGAUGGAUCCGCGCUGCAUUAGCUAGUUGGUAAGGUAACGGCUUACCAAGGCAACGAUGCAUAGCCGACCUGAGAGGGUGAUCGGCCACACUGGAACUGAGACACGGUCCAGACUCCUACGGGAGGCAGCAGUAGGGAAUCUUCCGCAAUGGGCGAAAGCCUGACGAAGCAACGCCGCGUGAGUGAUGAAGGUCUUCGGAUCGUAAAACUCUGUUAUUAGGGAAGAACAUAUGUGUAAGUAACUGUGCACAUCUUGACGGUACCUAAUCAGAAAGCCACGGCUAACUACGUG
rnacentral:rRNA from 1 species